CAUAGCGACUAUCGUGGCAUAUCAAUAAGCGGAGGAAAAGAAACUAACAAGGAUUCCCCUAGUAACGGCGAGUGAAGCGGGAAGAGCUCAAAUUUGAAAUCUUAAAGGGUUUCCCUUUACGAAUUGUAGUUUAAAGAAGUGUUUUCUGUUGGAGUUUCGGUAAAAGUUCUUUGGAAUAGGACAUCAUAGAGGGUGAGAAUCCCGUAUUUGACCGUUACUUUCCAGCUGUGUGAUACACCUUCAAAGAGUCGGAUUGUUUGGGAAUGCAGUCCAAAAUGGGUGGUAAAUUUCAUCUAAAGCUAAAUAUUGGCGAGAGACCGAUAGCGAACAAGUACCGUGAGGGAAAGAUGAAAAGAACUUUGAAAAGAGAGUUAAACAGUACGUGAAAUUGUCAAAAGGGAAGCGUUUGACACCAGUGUUGUUUUCUCGAAAAUCAAUUAAAAAUGAUGGGAUUUUGUGUUGUAUUGACUUUAUCAGCUUUCUGCACUUUUUUCUUAUCUUUUUUAAUGCACUUUUCGUUUAACAAGUCAACAUCAAUUUCUUUUGUUGUAAAAGAGUCAUUGGAAGGUGGCUUUUCUUUCGGAGAAAAGUGUUUAUAGCCUUUGACUUCUGCAGUCGGAGAGAUUGAGGUCUGCAGCGUAGAUCCUUCGGGGUUAGAUACAUUUGUGCUAAGCUAUAGUUCUUUAUAGACAACUUGUUGACUAUAAUCAAUCCUGUAACUUACUCGCUUAUGCUAUUUUACCUACGCUUAGGAUGUUGAUAUGCAUGACUGAUAU
rnacentral:rRNA from 1 species